UACAGAGGGUGCUAGCGUUGUUCGGAAUUACUGGGCGUAAAGCGUGCGUAGGCGGUUUGUUAAGUCUGUUGUGAAAUCCCCGGGCUCAACCUGGGAAUGGCAAUGGAUACUGGCAGGCUAGAGUGUGUCAGAGGAUGGUGGAAUUCCCGGUGUAGCGGUGAAAUGCGUAGAGAUCGGGAGGAACAUCAGUGGCGAAGGCGGCCAUCUGGGACAACACUGACGCUGAGGCACGAAAGCGUGGGGAGCAAACAGG
rnacentral:rRNA from 1 species